rnacentral:rRNA from 1 species
GGAUUAAUUUAUUGGUCGUGCAAUAGUACGUACUGGUAUUAUUGAUUCCUACCUUCUGACGAACCAUGAUGUCAUUAAUUUGGUGUCAUGGGGAAUCAGGACUGUUACUUUGAAAAAAUUAGAGUGUUUAAAGCAGGCUCGCGCUUGAAUACAUUAGCAUGGAAUAAUGAAAUAGGACGUUUGACCCUAUUUUGUUGGUUUCUAGGAUUGACGUAAUGAUUAAUAGGGAUAGUUG